rnacentral:rRNA from 1 species
AGAGCGAACGCUGGCGGCAGGCCUAACACAUGCAAGUCGAGCGCCCGUAGCAAUACGGGAGCGGCAGACGGGAGAGUAACACGUGGGAACGUGCCCAUCAGUUCGGAACAACCCAGGGAAACUUGGGCUAAUACCGGAUACGCCCUUACGGGGAAAGAUUUAUCGCUGAUGGAGCGGCCCGCGUCUGAUUAGCUAGUUGGUGAGGUAAUGGCUCACCAAGGCGACGAUCAGUAGCUGGUCUGAGAGGAUGAUCAGCCUCACUGGGACUGAGACACGGCCCAGACUCCUACGGGAGGCAGCAGUGGGGAAUAUUGGACAAUGGGCGCAAGCCUGAUCCAGCCAUGCCGCGUGGGUGAUGAAGGCCCUAGGGUUGUAAAGCCCUUUCGGCGGGGAAGAUAAUGACGGUACCCGCGAGAAGAAGCCCCGGCUAACUUCGUGCCAGCAGCCGC